CCCAGAUUAAGAGGAUAGUGACGAGAACAAGGAACAGGAGGAUAAGGAUGCAGGCGAAAAUCUGGCGGAAGAGUUUACGGCGCUUGUGCCCGUGGCUGCCGCAGUCUUUGCCCGACAUGGCAGAAGCAAGGUGAAGAUGACUGCGACAGUGGUGGUGGUGUGGAAGCGAAGAGAAGAGUCCGAGAUGAACGUGGAGAGUUAAAGAGGGGCUUUGGUAUAUAGGGAGACGAGAUGGGCGCGGGUGGAGCCCACUGGUUUUGUGUGGGAGUGUGCGGUGGACUCGCACUGCUUGGAUUUACAGUAGGCAUUUAAGCCCCAGUUGACUUGAGAAAAACUAUAAACAAUGAGAAAUUCUUAGAGAA
rnacentral:misc_RNA from 1 species